CUUGAACGCUGGCGGCAGGCCUAACACAUGCAAGUCGAGCGAGCGGCGGACGGGUGAGUACUGUCUGGGAAAAUGCCAGAUGGAGGGGGAUAACUACUGGAAACGGUAGCUAAUACCGCAUACAAUCAGAUGUGCCCAGAGGGGAUUAGCUAGUAGGUGGGGUAACGGCGUAACUAGGCGACGAUCCCUAGCUGGUCUGGGAGGAUGACCAGCCAAACUGGAACUGUGACACGGUCCAGAAUCCUCCGGGGGGCAGCGGUGGGGAAUAUUGCACAAUGGGCGAAAGCCUGAUGCAGCCAUGCCGCGUGUGUGAAGAAAGCCUUCGGGUUGGAAAGCACUUUCAGCGGGGAGGCGUUACCCGCAGAAGAAGCACCGGCUAACUCCGUGCCAGCAGCCGCGGUAAUAC
rnacentral:rRNA from 1 species